AUGCUACUCCCUCCGUCCGGGAAUACUUGUCAUCAAAAUGAAUAAAAGGGGAUGUAUCUAGAUGUAUUUUAGUUUUAGAUACAUCAUUUUUUGUCCAUGUUGAUGACAAGUAUUUUCGGACGGAGGGAGUACAAU
rnacentral:pre_miRNA from 1 species